CCGGGCAGGAUGGAAAAUUUGUGCAAGGUCUGCUGCCAAUAAAUGACAGAGGAGUCGCAAACACAGUGCUGUCUGGCUUGCAGAAAUUAACCAGGGAGGACAAAGGUACAGCAUAGCCCUGAGAAGAAUGUCCUCUCCGUAACUCAGAUCUGAGAGCUCCGCCCUACAUAAAGUCGCCCCCGUCAGAAGACCAGAGAGCUCUGGAGUUAGCUGAUUUCAAACACUUCAUCAAACCUGGAUAAUUCAUCCUGAAGUUUCCUUACCUGCCUGUGGCCGAUCCACCUCUCCAUGAAUUUCUUCCAAUCCCAGCUGCUCCUCAGAAAGCCUCCAUCAUCCAUCCUCCGUCACUAGACAGAGACUGCCCAUCAUCUGGGCUGGCCUGACCUGCUCAGUCAUUGCACUACAUAGAAUAUUCUUCUGGGAUAUCCAAAACAAGAUUCCUUCAUCACCUCCCUGAGUGACCUGGAACCACUCUCAGGGUUUUGGGAGGAGCACCAAUCCACACAAGCAGCAGAAAGCUCGCUUCCUUGCGUAGUUGAUUCUCUCUAAUCACAAAUCAGAUGUCUUCUCCUCUACCCU